UACGAAGGGGGCUAGCGUUGCUCGGAAUCACUGGGCGUAAAGGGUGCGUAGGCGGGUCUUUAAGUCAGGGGUGAAAUCCUGGAGCUCAACUCCAGAACUGCCUUUGAUACUGAAGAUCUUGAGUUCGGGAGAGGUGAGUGGAACUGCGAGUGUAGAGGUGAAAUUCGUAGAUAUUCGCAAGAACACCAGUGGCGAAGGCGGCUCACUGGCCCGAUACUGAUGCUGAGGCACGAAAGCGUGGGGAGCAACAGG
rnacentral:rRNA from 1 species